rnacentral:rRNA from 1 species
AUUGAACGCUGGCGGCAUGCUUUACACAUGCAAGUCGAACGGCAGCGCGGGCUUCGGCCUGGCGGCGAGUGGCGAACGGGUGAGUAAUGCAUCGGAACGUGCCCAGUAGUGGGGGAUAGCCCGGCGAAAGCCGGAUUAAUACCGCAUACGACCUGAGGGUGAAAGCGGGGGACCGAAAGGCCUCGCGCUAUUGGAGCGGCCGAUGUCGGAUUAGCUAGUUGGUGGGGUAAAGGCUUACCAAGGCGACGAUCCGUAGCUGGUCUGAGAGGACGACCAGCCACACUGGGACUGGGACACGGCCCAGACUCCUACGGGAGGCAGCAGUGGGGAAUUUUGGACAAUGGGGGCAACCCUGAUCCAGCCAUGCCGCGUGCGGGAAGAAGGCCUUCGGGUUGUAAAACGCUUUUGUUCGGGAAGAAAUCCUCUGGGCUAAUACCCCGGGGGGAUGACGGUACCGGAAGAAUAAGCACCGGCUAACUACGUG